rnacentral:SRP_RNA from 2 species
GCCGGGCGUGGUGGCUCACGCCUGUAAUCCCAGCAUUUUGGGAGGCUGAGGUGGGUGGAUCACCUGAGUUUAGGAGUUCAAGACCAGCCUGGCCAACAUGGUGAAACCCCAUCUCUA